CCGGCCGCCAUCUUACGGUGCCCACAACAGUCGCCGCAGCGAUCAUGGCAACUUCUUGCAAUUACGGUCGUACCAACCGUACUGGCAAGGUUACAGGGCCUAAACUUAUACAGGUUUUGUCAUGAGGGCUGCCCAGUGAACAAUCUGUGCAGUGUGAUACGGCUGGGUGUACAGGUUACUUCACAGCUGCCUCGACAUACUCAAGAAAUGGGUGCAGAACCUGCGUAAUGCCCGCAAACUUUGACUACCACAGCAUCUCCAGAAAGUAAAGGGAUAUAUGUCACAUGGGAUUUUUAAAGGCAUUCACAGAUAAUACCUUGUAUGAACUGUUGUAGAUCUAAGCAGCUUCUACAGUACACUCUCAGAAAUUAAAACUUGUCA